CGCCAGCCUCAAGGUGUUCACCAGCAGGCACGCACUCUUCGGGAGAUCUUCUUCGGAUAGGAGUGACAUUGGCAGGCCACCAGAARAAGAUUCUAGGCAGCAUUCAGGACAUGAGACUACAGAUGAACCAAACACUGCCUGUCCAGGUCUGAGAUGGACCAACCAGAGAGACAGGACAGGAAGGAGAGGAACUGUGCCAGAGAGAGCCAACGGGAAACCCUAGCUGCCUGACCAUCUCAGCCAAUCAGAUGAAGACAAACCUGGCUUGCAGUGCCUCGAAGGGACUAGACGUUGUUGCUUCUUCUUCUGUCUUCCACGCCAAUGUUUCCUGUUGUGUUCUACGUUAUUAGUCCCACGUUUUGACAAGGUUUAGCUGAAUGAUUUUUGUAAAAAAAAAAAAAAAACUGUUUCUAAAGAGAAGAAACGGAACCCAUAAUCCCAUGUGUGCCUCACUUGGUCCAGUGUGGGGUGAUCGUUUGCAUGCGCGCGUGUGUUUUCGUGAGGAUGGCUGGGACUCAACCCCUUCCCACCCCACCCAUCUCCUUGUAUCCUGAACUUGGUCAUCCUCCUGUGAAAACCCAUCUCCUUGAACCUUGAACCUUGACCCUAACAUCUGUCGGACAGCCCCCCUGACAGACAUUAAAGUUGGAAGUGGACGAACAUUGUUUGAGUUUAAAAAUACAGAAAAAAGCUGAAAAAGUGAACAAGCGUUCACACGCAAAAAAAUGAAGUGUUUGGACACGAUAGAUGAAAUCCUUCCCAUGCUACAACUUGUGUGUGUGUGUGUGUGUGUGUGUGUGUGUGUGUGUGUGUGUGUGUGUGUUAUUCCCCAUCUUCAUAUUGAAGGUGUAUUAUUAUAAACAAGGCCACUGAGAAGGACGUGGAGGAGAAGUGUAAAGGGUGAAAGGUCAGAAGAUCACCAGAGGUCAAAUGAGAGCAUCUGAGAUGGCCGCAAUAGUUUGGCCUAAAAAUUCUCUGACAGACCUCUUUCUAAGACGUAGGCGAGAACAUUGGCUCAUAUGCCUCAUCAACUGUGUCUGUCCUACUAUAAUAAUUGUUGUCUAUUUGUUUUUAUCAGCCCUCCAUUUAGAUUUUCUGUUCCAUAGUUAUUGGGGUUUGUGUUUCAAGAUAGUACUUCCUGUUUGGCUGGUCAGAGUUUAGUACUUCUUGUUGGCUGGUCAGAGCUAAGUACUUCCUGUUGGACUCUUUCUGUGAUGUCGGGGAGCUAGGCGAGGACUGUGGCAACAUACCGGCCUUUUGUGUGUUGAGUGUGUUUGUGUGUGUGUGUUUAUGAAUGCGAGAGUGUAACAAGUUACACACACAUACUGUACAAUGCAGCUUCAGCUAUAUCCCCACUGUGGAGAAUUAGCGCAUGAACUGAACAGUGACAAGGAGCAACAAUUAUAUGGGAAACAGUUACGCUUUAUUCUGUGGACAAACUGUUCAUGUUUUUUAUUUUAUUGAAAUACAAAAUGUUUGGAAAUAUACACUAUAUGCAUCCACAAUAGAGCAGACACACGUAACUUUCUUUUUACAUUUAUCUGGAUGUUAAAUUAAUCCAAAAAACUCGAGUUUAAUUUCUCUACUUCCACCCACUGUAUUUAUUUCUCUCCCCACUUGGACAAACAGGCCAUUUGAACUGUGGACUCAUUCUAAAGAAUGAUGAAGAGGAUUCCAAGAGGAUUCCAAGAGGAUUCCAAGAGGAUUCCAAGAGGGUUCCAAGAGGGUUCCAAGAGGAUUCCAAGAGGAUUCCAAGAGGAUUCCAAGAGGGUUCCAAGAGGAUUCCAAGAGGAUUCCAAGAGGAUUCCAAGAGGGUUCCAAGAGGGUUCCAAGAGGAUUCCGAGAGGAUUUCAAGAGGGUUCCGAGAGGAUUCCAAGAGGAUUCCGAGAGGAUUCCGAGAGGAUUCCGAGAGGGUUCCGAGAGGAUUCCGAGAGGAUUCCAAGAGGGUUCCGAGAGGAUUCCAAGAGGAUUCCAAGAGGAUUCCAAAAGGUGUUCCGAGAGGAUUCAGUAAAUGAAUUAAUGAUUAUAAAAACAAAAAAAAGCAUAUAAAAUUGGAUAUUGUAUUUUUGUUGUUGUUCUAAACAGCCUGUACAUGUUUUGUAACAAAAAUAAGAUAAAUUACAUGAAAACAAAAUGAA